GCAGUAGCAAUAAAUGCAAGAAUAUUUACUUCCAUAAUCUCAACGUUUCUUUUUUUUUCUUUGCAAUAACUCAGGAUUUAAUCCCAUAGGGAUAAUAAGUCUUUCGCCUCUAAAUUCAACGGGAUGAAUUCCAUCUCGAUGAUAUCGAGUCUGAUCAAUAUUAUGAAUAACAAUAUCUGAGCUAUCAAAUCGAUUCAUCGUCGAGAAUUGAAUAGUAUAACAUAGAAAGAUUGC
rnacentral:lncRNA from 1 species